GAUGAACGCUGGCGGCGUGCCUAAUACAUGCAAGUCGAGCGAACAGACGAGGAGCUUGCUCCUCUGACGUUAGCGGCGGACGGGUGAGUAACACGUGGAUAACCUACCUAUAAGACUGGGAUAACUUCGGGAAACCGGAGCUAAUACCGGAUAAUAUAUUGAACCGCAUGGUUCAAUAGUGAAAGACGGUUUUGCUGUCACUUAUAGAUGGAUCCGCGCCGCAUUAGCUAGUUGGUAAGGUAACGGCUUACCAAGGCAACGAUGCGUAGCCGACCUGAGAGGGUGAUCGGCCACACUGGAACUGAGACACGGUCCAGACUCCUAAGGGAGGCAGCAGUAGGGAAUCUUCCGCAAUGGGCGAAAGCUUGACGGGGCAACGCCGCGUGAGUGAUGAAGGUCUUCGGAUCGUAAAACUCUGUUAUUAGGGAAGAACAAAUGUGUAAGUAACUAUGCACGUCUUGACGGUACCUAAUCAGAAAGCCACGGCUAACUACGUG
rnacentral:rRNA from 1 species